rnacentral:rRNA from 1 species
GAUGAACGCUGGCGGCGUGCUUAACACAUGCAAGUCGAACGGUGAAAGAGAGCUUGCUCUCUGGAUCAGUGGCGAACGGGUGAGUAACACGUGAGCAAUCUGCCCCUUACUCUGGGAUAAGCGCUGGAAACGGCGUCUAAUACCGGAUACGAGCUGCGAAGGCAUCUUCAGCAGCUGGAAAGAACUUCGGUCAGGGAUGAGCUCGCGGCCUAUCAGCUAGUUGGUGAGGUAACGGCUCACCAAGGCGUCGACGGGUAGCCGGCCUGAGAGGGUGACCGGCAACACUGGGACUGAGAAACGGACCAGACUGCUACGGGAGGCAGCAGUGGGGAAGAUUGCACAAUGGGCGAAAGCCUGAUGCAGAAACGCCGCGUGAGGGAAGACGGCCUUCGGGUUGUAAAAAUAUUUUAGCAGGGAAGAAGCGAAAGUGACGGUAACUGAAGAAAAAGCACCGGCUAACUACGUG